UAAACGGCGAAACUGCGAAUGGCUCAUUAAAUCAGUUAUCGUAUAUUUGAUAGUACCUACUACAUGGAUAACCGUGGUAAUUCUAGAGCUAAUACAUGCUUAAAAUCCCGACUUCGGAAGGGAUGUAUUUAUUAGAUUAAAAACCAAUGCCCUUCGGGGCUCACUGGUGAUUCAUAAUAACUUCUCGAAUCGCAUGGCCUUGUGCCGGCGAUGGUUCAUUCAAAUUUCUGCCCUAUCAACUUUCGACGGCUGGGUAUUGGCCAGCCGUGGUUACAACGGGUAACGGAGGGUUAGGGCUUGACCCCGGAGAAGGAGCCUGAGAAACGGCUACUACAUCCAAGGAAGGCAGCAGGCGCGCAAAUUACCCAAUCCCGAUACGGGGAGGUAGUGACAAUAAAUACUGAUACAGGGCUCUUUUGGGUCUUGUAAUUGGAAUGAGUACAAUUUAAAUCCCUUAACGAGGAACAAUUGGAGGGCAAGUCUGGUGCCAGCAGCCGCGGUAAUUCCAGCUCCAAUAGCGUAUAUUAAAGUUGUUGCAGUUAAAAAGCUCGUAGUUGAACCUUGGGCCUGGCUGGCCGGUCUGCCUCACCGCAUGCACUGGUCCGGCCGGGCCUUUCCCUCUGGGGAUCCGCAUGCCCUUCACUGGGUGUGUCGGGGAACCAGGACUUUUACUGUGAAAAAAUUAGAGUGUUCAAAGCAGGCAUAUGCUCGAAUACAUUAGCAUGGAAUAAUAGAAUAGGACGUUGCGGUUCUAUUUUGUUGGUUUCUAGGACCGCCGUAAUGAUUAAUAGGGACAGUCGGGGGCAUCAGUAUUCAAUCGUCAGAGGUGAAAUUCUUGGAUCGAUUGAAGACUAACUACUGCGAAAGCAUUUGCCAAGGAUGUUUUCAUUAAUCAGGAACGAAAGUUAGGGGAUCGAAAACGAUCAGAUACCGUUGUAGUCUUAACCAUAAACUAUGCCGACUAGGGAUCGGGCGAUGUUAUUCUUUGACUCGCUCGGCACCUUACACGAAAGUAAAGUU
rnacentral:rRNA from 1 species